rnacentral:rRNA from 1 species
AGCCACGGCUAACUACGUGCCAGCAGCCGCGGUAAUACGUAGGUGGCAAGCGUUGUCCGGAUUUAUUGGGCGUAAAGCGAGCGCAGGCGGUUUCUUAAGUCUGAUGUGAAAGCCCCCGGCUCAACCGGGGAGGGUCAUUGGAAACUGGGAGACUUGAGUGCAGAAGAGGAGAGUGGAAUUCCAUGUGUAGCGGUGAAAUGCGUAGAUAUAUGGAGGAACACCAGUGGCGAAGGCGGCUCUCUGGUCUGUAACUGACGCUGAGGCUCGAAAGCGUGGGGAGCGAACAGGAUUAGAUACCCUGGUAGUCCACGCCGUAAACGAUGAGUGCUAAGUGUUGGAGGGUUUCCGCCCUUCAGUGCUGCAGCAAACGCAUUAAGCACUCCGCCUGGGGAGUACGACCGCAAGGUUGAAACUCAAAGGAAUUGACGGGGGCCCGCACAAGCGGUGGAGCAUGUGGUUUAAUUCGAAGCAACGCGAAGAACCUUACCAGGUCUUGACAUCCUUUGACCACUCUAGAGAUAGAGCUUCCCCUUCGGGGGCAAAGUGACAGGUGGUGCAUGGUUGUCGUCAGCUCGUGUCGUGAGAUGUUGGGUUAAGUCCCGCAACGAGCGCAACCCUUAUUGUUAGUUGCCAUCAUUUAGUUGGGCACUCUAGCGAGACUGCCGGUGACAAACCGGAGGAAGGUGGGGAUGACGUCAAAUCAUCAUGCCCCUUAUGACCUGGGCUACACACGUGCUACAAUGGGAAGUACAACGAGUUGCGAAGUCGCGAGGCUAAGCUAAUCUCUUAAAGCUUCUCUCAGUUCGGAUUGUAGGCUGCAACUCGCCUACAUGAAGCCGGAAUCGCUAGUAAUCGCGGAUCAGCACGCCGCGGUGAAUACGUUCCCGGGCCUUGUACACACCGCCCGUCACACCACGAGAGUUUGUAACACCCGAAGUCGGUGAGGUAACCUUUUUGGAGCCAGCCGCCUAAGGUGGGAUAGAUGAUUGGGGUGAAGUCGUAACAAGGUAGCCGUAUCGGAAGGUGCGGCUGGAUCACCUCCUUUCUAAGGAA